GAGAGAGUAACUGAUAACCUAAAAGAUUGCUAGUCUUCUAGAACCGCAGUUAAAAUCUGCGGCUCACUCG
rnacentral:tRNA from 1 species